rnacentral:lncRNA from 1 species
AGGAAGAAACCCCCUAUCCAUUAGUAUUGAUAAGAAACUUCUCCUAAGGCAAAAAGAAAAAAAAUGGGAUUGAUGUUGAAGGGUAGACAUAGGGAUCAUUCGGGUUUAGAUGAUUAGGAGUAAGCACUUGGGAACCAUUGGGUAGUUAAGGUUUUAUUCCUGUAUGCAUUUGUUGGUCCUUACCUUUAGCAUUCUCCCUAAAGCUCAAUCCAUUCACUUAGAGAUCCUUGUCCUGAAAUUCUUUAAACCCUCUUGAUUCUCAAAACCUUUUUCUGCCUAGCCACGUGAGUUUGUUAAGCCUUGCACAACCAGAUUCAUAUUCUUGAGUAAUGAAUGUUGAAAGUAAUGAAUGAUUUGAAUGCAUGUGUAAAUCAAGGGAUAGAAUCAGUUUCGGAUUUGAUGAGUUUGUCUAAAGUCUUUAAGUAAAGUUCUUUCAGCAUGCAUCAAAGACUUAGCAACCAUGACAUUGAUUUUAACUGCUCUAUCUUGCAAGUUACAGGUUCUGAGACCCUAUUUUCAAACCUCUCUUCCACUUUGUUUCUUUUUGCUUUGCUUGAGGGCAAGCAAAUACUAAGUUUGUGGGAGUUGAUAAGUCUGUAUUUCAUCACUUUUUGAGCAUGCAUUCAUCA